GGAGCAUGGAAGAAAGAGAGGGGAUCACGGUGCUAAGAAGUCAAGGAUAGUGGAGAAACCGAGGCCCCACAGGCAAACAGAGCACUGGUAGAAGGGCAAGCAGAUGACCCAGCUCUUCGUGUAAGGACCAGGCAUGACAGUGGGAGCACCUGAAUCACUGCAUGCUCAGUGGUCCUGCUUCAGCCGACACCAAUGCUCCAGGUCAAGACUGUGGUCAAGGUCAUCUGAUCUGUUCCUCCUCCCUUCAAUCAAACCACCUGACCCACCACUCUCCAGGACACUGUCAGCCUCCCUGCCUCCUUGGAGUCUCUAAGAGAGAGCCUGGCAACAUCCAUAGAGAGGAAGACUCAGAUAGGCCUGGAGAUGAGCAUGUGCUGUAGCAGGUAGAACAUCU